rnacentral:rRNA from 1 species
AGAGUUUGAUCCUGGCUCAGAACGAACGCUGGCGGCAGGCCUAACACAUGCAAGUCGAACGCCCCGCAAGGGGAGUGGCGGACGGGUGAGUAACGCGUGGGAAUUUUUCCAGGGGUUCGGAAUAACUGAGGGAAACUUCAGCUAAUACCGGAUGAUGCCGAGAGGCCAAAGAUUUAUUGCCCUUGGGUAAGCCCGCGUUGGAUUAGGUAGUUGGUGGGGUAACGGCCUACCAAGCCUGCGAUCCAUAGCUGGUCUGAGAGGACGAUCAGCCACACUGGGACUGAGACACGGCCCAGACUCCUACGGGAGGCAGCAGUGGGGAAUCUUGCGCAAUGGACGAAAGUCUGACGCAGCCAUGCCGCGUGAAUGAUGAAGGUCUUAGGAUUGUAAAGUUCUUUCGACGGGGACGAUGAUGACGGUACCCGUAGAAGAAGCCCCGGCUAACUUCGUGCCAGCAGCCGCGGUGAUACGAAGGGGGCUAGCGUUGUUCGGAAUUACUGGGCGUAAAGCGUGCGCAGGCGGUUUUUUAAGCCAGAGGUGAAAUCCCGGAGCUCAACUUCGGAAUGGCCUUUGGAACUGGAAAGCUUGAGAACGGUAGAGGUGAGUGGAAUUCCCAGUGUAGAGGUGAAAUUCGUAGAUAUUGGGAAGAACACCGGUGGCGAAGGCGGCUCACUGGACCGUUUCUGACGCUCAGGCACGAAAGCGUGGGAGCAAACAGGAUUAGAUACCCCGGUAGU